AGCGCUACUCUUUUUAGAGUGAGCGGCAAACGGGUGAGUAACGCGUGGGAAUCUACCCAUUUCUACGGGAAUAACACAAGAGAAAUUUGUGCUAAUACCGUAUACGUCCUUAUAGGAGAAAGAUUUAUCGGAAAUGGAUGAGCCCGCGUUGGAUUAGCUAGUUGGUAAGGUAAAGGCUUACCAAGGCGACGAUCCAUAGCUGGUCUGAGAGGAUGAUCAGCCACACUGGGACUGAGACACGGCCCAG
rnacentral:rRNA from 1 species